GUGGUUAACCCGCGAACGGGCUACCCACAAAAUCCGUUUGCGAUAUAUCAUAGACGAAUCUCUUGACUUCGCUGAAGCGAGUUACAUUAUUCCAAAACUGAGCCUGAGAAUUUAACUGUUGUAAAACGUCACGAAAUGGCAUACACUCCAAUCUCUGAAGACGAGCUGCAUAACUAUGGUGAAUUGCCCGAAAUAAGCGGUAAUUCAAUCAUUUAUGAACUUUCGGAUGCCAAGAUCCCUCCGAAUGCAAGAGAGAUUCUCGUUUAUCUCUGGGCCACAACCCAGAGUGACGAGGAAUUUCAUCGUUAUUACUAUAGAAUCCAAACCACAGAUGGCACGCGGUCCUUCACCCAGUACAUGAAUGUUGCUGCAUCCAAGGAUGUUUCUCUCAAUUCCGCCAACCUUUGGCUUCCUGUUUUUUCAGGAUACGGGCAAGUUACUGUACAAUUGAUUGACGCUGAAAAUCCAGGGGCAAAAGGCAAAAGCAUUGCUUGCAGACGCCAGACGAAAUGCCAGAAAGUUGGAGAAAAAGUACCUAUUUUCAGUGAAUUCUUCAUCCUGGGUUACAGCUAUUAAAGUUUUAAAACUUUCCGGCUAAAUAUGUUGUACCACCUUUUUUGAAAAUACCGUGUGAUUACGUUUAUAAAUAAAUUUGCUU